rnacentral:rRNA from 1 species
AUUGAACGCUGGCGGCAUGCCUUACACAUGCAAGUCGAACGGCAGCACGGGAGCAAUCCUGGUGGCGAGUGGCGAACGGGUGAGUAAUAUAUCGGAACGUGCCCGGUCGUGGGGGAUAACGUAGCGAAAGCUACGCUAAUACCGCAUACGAUCUACGGAUGAAAGCGGGGGAUCGCAAGACCUCGCGCGAUUGGAGCGGCCGGAUAUCAGAUUAGGUAGUUGGUGAGGUAAAGGCUCACCAAGCCGACGAUCUGUAGCUGGUCUGAGAGGACGACCAGCCACACUGGGACUGAGACACGGCCCAGACUCCUACGGGAGGCAGCAGUGGGGAAUUUUGGACAAUGGGCGCAAGCCUGAUCCAGCAAUGCCGCGUGCAGGAUGAAGGCCU